rnacentral:lncRNA from 1 species
AUGAGUGACAAUUCGUAUAGAAAAGGAAAUUUUACCAUUGCUGAGGGCACUGGUGUAUCUAAAGGAUCCUGGACACUGGGUACUGGUGCAGCUGAAGGAGCCCGGACUCUGAGCAGUGGUGGAGCCUGGACACUGAGCAGUGAUGCAGCUACACUGGGCACUGGUGCAGCUGAAGGAGCCCGGACUCUGAGCAGUGGUGGAGCCUGGACACUGGGCAGUGGUGGAGCCUGGACACUGAGCAGUGAUGCAGCUACACUGGGCACUGGUGCAGCUGAAGGAGCCCGGACUCUGAGCAGUGGUGGAGCCUGGACACUGGGCAGUGGUGGAGUCUGGACACUGGGCAGUGGUGCAGCUACACUGGGCACUGGUGCAGCUGAAGGAGCUCGGACUCUGAGCAGUGGUGGAGCCUGGACACUGGGCAGUGGUGGAGUCUGGACACUGGGCAGUGGUGCAGCUACACUGGGCACUGGUGCAGCUGAAGGAGCCCGGACUUUGAGCAGUGGUGGAGUCUGGACACUGGGCAGUGGUGCAGCUACACUGGGCACUGGUGCAGCUGAAGGAGCCCGGACUCUGAGCAGUGGUGGAGCCUGGACACUGGGCACUGGUGCAGCUGAAGGAGCCCGGACUCUGAACAAUGGUGGAGCCUGGACACUGAGCAGUGAUGCAGCUACACUGGGCACUGGUGCAGUUGAAGGAGCACGGACUCUGAGCAGUGGUGGAGCCUGGACACUGGGCAGUGGUGGAGUCUGGACACUGGGCAGUGGUGGAGUUUGGACACUGGGCAAUGGUGGAGUCUGGACACUGGGCAAUGGUGGAGUCUGGACACUGGGCAGUGGUGGAGUCUGGACACUGGGCAAUGGUGGAGUCUGGACACUGGGCAGUGGUGGAGUCUGGACAAUGGGCAGUGGUGGAAUUUUGACACUGGGCAGUGGUGCAGCUGUAGGAGCCUGGACACUGGGAACUGGUGCAGCUGGUAGAACUGGUGGACCUGAAAGGACUAAGUCAUCUGAUGCCACAAGAUUUGCCACUGUGGCUUCCUCUCCAAAGAAAUCAAUGAAACCCUCAUCCUUUUCCACUUGCUCCUCCACAUCUAUCUCCUCCAGCAAUUGA